rnacentral:rRNA from 1 species
UACAGAGGUCUCAAGCGUUGUUCGGAUUCAUUGGGCGUAAAGGGUGCGUAGGUGGCGUGGUAAGUCGGGUGUGAAAUUUCGGAGCUUAACUCCGAAACUGCAUUCGAUACUGCUGUGCUUGAGGACUGGAGAGGAGACUGGAAUUUACGGUGUAGCGGUGAAAUGCGUAGAUAUCGUAAGGAAGACCAGUGGCGAAGGCGGGUCUCUGGACAGUUCCUGACGCUGAGGCACGAAGGCCGGGGGAGCAAACGGG